GACGAACGCUGGCGGCGUGCUUAACACAUGCAAGUCGAACGGAAAGGCCCUGCUUUUGUGGGGUGCUCGAGUGGCGAACGGGUGAGUAACACGUGAGUAACCUGCCCUUGACUUUGGGAUAACUUCAGGAAACUGGGGCUAAUACCGGAUAGGAGCUCCUGCUGCAUGGUGGGGGUUGGAAAGUUUCGGCGGUUGGGGAUGGACUCGCGGCUUAUCAGCUUGUUGGUGGGGUAGUGGCUUACCAAGGCUUUGACGGGUAGCCGGCCUGAGAGGGUGACCGGCCACAUUGGGACUGAGAUACGGCCCAGACUCCUACGGGAGGCAGCAGUGGGGAAUAUUGCACAAUGGGCGGAAGCCUGAUGCAGCAACGCCGCGUGCGGGAUGACGGCCUUCGGGUUGUAAACCGCUUUCGCCUGUGACGAAGCGUGAGUGACGGUAAUGGGUAAAGAAGCACCGGCUAACUACGUGCCAGCAGCCGCGGUGAUACGUAGGGUGCGAGCGUUGUCCGGAUUUAUUGGGCGUAAAGGGCUCGUAGGUGGUUGAUCGCGUCGGAAGUGUAAUCUUGGGGCUUAACCCUGAGCGUGCUUUCGAUACGGGUUGACUUGAGGAAAGGUAGGGGAGAAUGGAAUUCCUGGUGGAGCGGUGGAAUGCGCAGAUAUCAGGAGGAACACCAGUGGCGAAGGCGGUUCUCUGGGCCUUUCCUGACGCUGAGGAGCGAAAGCGUGGGGAGCGAACAGGCUUAGAUACCCUGGUAGUCCACGCUGUAAACGGUGGGUACUAGGUGUGGGGUCCAUUCCACGGGUUCCGUGCCGUAGCUAACGCUUUAAGUACCCCGCCUGGGGAGUACGGCCGCAAGGCUAAAACUCAAAGGAAUUGACGGGGCCCCGCACAAGCGGCGGAGCAUGCGGAUUAAUUCGAUGCAACGCGUAGAACCUUACCUGGGUUUGACAUGGAUCGGGAGUGCCCAGAGAUGGGUGUGCCUCUUUUGGGGUCGGUUCACAGGUGGUGCAUGGCUGUCGUCAGCUCGUGUCGUGAGAUGUUGGGUUAAGUCCCGCAACGAGCGCAACCCUUGUUCACUGUUGCCAGCACGUUAUGGUGGGGACUCAGUGGAGACCGCCGGGGUCAACUCGGAGGAAGGUGGGGAUGACGUCAAGUCACCAUGCCCCUUAUGUCCAGGGCUUCACGCAUGCUACAAUGGCUGGUACAGAGAGUGGCGAGCCUGUGAGGGUGAGCGAAUCUCGGAAAGCCGGUCUCAGUUCGGAUUGGGGUCUGCAACUCGACCUCAUGAAGUCGGAGUCGCUAGUAAUCGCAGAUCAGCAACGCUGCGGUGAAUACGUUCCCGGGGCU
rnacentral:rRNA from 1 species